rnacentral:RNase_P_RNA from 1 species
AAAACAGAUCAGAUGAUCGCCCCGCCUAUGGUGGGGAGGAAAGUCCGAGCUCUCAAAGGCAGAAUGCCUCGUAAUUCGAGGGUCCCCUACGGGGGAACGGAAAGUGUCACAGAAACUAUACCGCCCCCGCAGCAAUGCGGGAGCAAGGGUGAAAUGGUGGUGUAAGAGACUACCGUCCUGAUAGUGAUAUCAGGAGCAGGACAAACCCCAUUCGAGAGCAAGACCAAAUAUGGAAGGAGAAGUCGCCUGCUUCUUUUUACUUCCGGGUAGGUUGCUUGAGGCCGGAGGUAACCCCGGUCCCAGAUAGAUGAUCGUCAUACCUUGUAUAGAGAUAAUCUUUCAGGGUAAACAGAACUCGGCUUAUGGUCUGUUUUGGCU